GACGAACGCUGGCGGCGUGCUUAACACAUGCAAGUCGAACGGAAAGGCCCUGCUUUUGUGGGGUGCUCGAGUGGCGAACGGGUGAGUAACACGUGAGUAACCUGCCCUUGACUUUGGGAUAACUUCAGGAAACUGGGGCUAAUACCGGAUAGGAGCUCCUGCUGCAUGGUGGGGGUUGGAAAGUUUCGGCGGCUGGGGAUGGACUCGCGGCUUAUCAGCAUGUUGGUGGGGUAGUGGCUUACCAAGGCUUUGACGGGUAGCCGGCCUGAGAGGGUGACCGGCCACAUUGGGACUGAGAUACGGCCCAGACUCCUACGGGAGGCAGCAGUGGGGAAUAUUGCACAAUGGGCGGAAGCCUGAUGCAGCAACGCCGCGUGCGGGAUGACGGCCUUCGGGUUGUAAACCGCUUUCGCCUGUGACGAAGCGUGAGUGACGGUAAUGGGUAAAGAAGCACCGGCUAACUACGUG
rnacentral:rRNA from 1 species